UUUCUCGCUCGCAAGCGCAGACCCAAUCAUCAUUGGGCGAAAUUCUCAUGGAGAAUUCGCACACACUCCAACCAGGAGCAACUAAGACCCCAAACCACAUUGAAUCCUCGGGUUGGGUCACCACACACUCGGUGUAUCCUCGAUCUCAUGAUCCAACACGUGGCAUUCCACGCUCCCGGCUCUAAGCUCGGACUACCGUCCUGACCAAAACUCUGCCCCACCCAUAGGUACUGGGCCCCUAUCACUCACAGCUGACUGCGCCUGCCCAAAGGGCCCAGGCUCCACAGUCCACAAAUGGUCCAGGCACGGGUCGUCCCCAAGCACUACCCGCCGUCGUCGUCCUACACGACAUACUCUAUCGAGUUACACAUAUGUUACUAU
rnacentral:lncRNA from 1 species